AACAAGUAGUUCCGGGGGACAUUUUCUACAGCAGUCUUUCCCUGUGUGAGAGCAUGCUUUCCCAAGCCGCAAUCGCAGUGGUUGCAACUAACAUGCCUGGGAAAUGCAUUUUAAUGUGCAUAUUUUCGUGUCAGCAUUAUAAUACUUGACUUAACCUCGAAGAUGAGAUGGCAAAGGACUUUUAAUGCAAUGAGAUGCAUUUUUCAACGCGGUGUGUGUAGGCCGCAGAAGCUCGGAAAUAUGGAGGGCUCUUAAACUCGGAUCAGAUGUGAUGUUUGUGCGAGGAUUGCUCCUCUGCACGUGGGCAGGCAGUUGUGCAAGGCCUCCCCUCAUUUCACCAAUAAAAUGCGUGGUGGUGUCAGUGGAGCCUUGGAGAAGCCUCUUUAAUGCCGUGCUGAAGAAACUGACUAUUGUAAGUGUUGUGUACCAAGAAGCCCCAUUAAUGUACACAUUUAUUUGUAUUUGAUUAAAUUAACAUGAUCUAAAUAAAGCAUUUUUAAACAAA